GGGUUGGUAGCUCAGUGGUAGAGCGUUCGAUUGCAGCUCGAAUGGUCACGUGUUCGACUCACGUCCGACCCU